CUUUAGUGGCAAUUUUCCACAUCUUCACUCUAAAUCUCGCAGAGUGGGAUUUGGAGGGUGACAGCAGUUUUCGCUCCGUUUCGUGUUAAACAACGCAAAUUUACUGUCUUGGUAGCAGAACAUGUUUCCCACUUGCAAUAAUAACCUUGGGGAAGGAAGCGAAUUGAAGGAGCAGGACGACCCCCUGUCUUGUCAUCGUCCACCCAGACUGACCAAACAAGUUUGCUAAGCCAAAGAACGUUCUUUGGCUAAGCGCCAUUUCAAGCGAGGACAGUCGUAACAAUGGAUACAGCUCCUUUGCCAAAAGAGACAUUACAUGAUAGUUCAAAAUUAUCAGAUUUUUAUAACUGCAAGAAGUUCCCGAAGAUGCUGUUAAUGUCCUAAAAGGGUAAAGGCAAAGCAAGUAUUUUAGCAUCAGGACUGUUAUUUGAAAAAAAAAAAAAAAAAAAAAAAAAAAAAAAAUCCAAAUUCUGCACUUCUAAUAUUUGCUAAAUGGAAUAGAAGACAUGGAAUCUCUUGGACCAGCUCAGAAUAAACAGCCCAUUAUAGUGUGUAUUACAAGUUUAUUCUAUAUUAAAGCAGUAAAUCACUUAAAAGCAUGCCCAAAUCAUGCCAUGAAGGCAUUUGACGUUCUAUUUAAAACUAAUUUUGUAUUUAGCGUUCAAUAUGCACAUACAUCAACAAAUUUUUAUAAUUUUGUGGCAAGCCUUUUGUAUAAUGUCAGCACUCCUAGAGCUUGUGUGGACUCUUUAAAUACAUUUUCGAGUCUGAAUUUAUUGCAUUUUGUACAUGCAUUACAUUUCAUAUUUUUAAUGUCAUUUUAGUGUCAUAUUUUCCAUUUUCAUAUAUGUAUAUAUAUGUACAUAUAUUUCCUAAUAAAGAGUUUUUU